UGCGUAGGUGGUUCGUUAAGUCUGAUGUGAAAGCCCUGGGCUCAACCUGGGAAUUGCAUUGGAUACUGGCGGGCUGGAGUGCGGUAGAGGGUAGUGGAAUUCCCGGUGUAGCAGUGAAAUGCGUAGAUAUCGGGAGGAACAUCCGUGGCGAAGGCGACUACCUGGACCAGCACUGACACUGAGGCACGAAAGCGUGGGGAGCAAACA
rnacentral:rRNA from 1 species